rnacentral:lncRNA from 1 species
AGCUUCAAGUGAAGUUAAUCUGAGGUGAAGCAAACAGAAAAUUGUGGAGGUUUUGUUGAUACUUUGGUGUUGAACAUUUGGGAUAGAAGAGAGAAAUUUAAAAUUAAAAAUUUUCCAUAUUUCUAUCACAAAUAUUGGUAAUUUGACAACAUGUAAUUUGAUUGUCGUCUUAAUAAAAUUUAAUGUUAUUGCUACCAAAUAGAGAUAAAGGAAUGAAUCUGAAGUCUGCUGCAGUAAAACACAGAAGGCUUUAAAAUGUUUUCUUGCAUAAAAUUCAAAACUUUUAAGUAGCUGCUUAUGAGAAUAGGGAAGGCAGAAAGCUAAUGUCUGUCUCAAGAUACAGGACAGCUGUUUGCUCAUCAACCUCAACUGUGUGUGCAACUGAGGAACAUGGCUCAAGAAACUAAUCACAGCCAAGUGCCUAUGCUUUGUUCCACUGGCUGUGGAUUUUAUGGAAACCCUCGUACAAAUGGCAUGUGUUCAGUAUGCUAUAAAGAACAUCUUCAAAGACAGAAUAGUAGUAAUGGUAGAAUAAGCCCACCUGCAACCUCUGUCAGUAGUCUGUCUGAAUCUUUACCAGUUC